UACAGAGGGUGCGAGCGUUAAUCGGAAUUACUGGGCGUAAAGCGUGCGUAGACGGUAGCGUAAGUCAGAUGUGAAAGCCCCGGGCUCAACCUGGGAACUGCAUUUGAGACUGCUCUGCUCGGGUGCGGAAGAGGGAAGCGGAAUUUCCGGUGUAGCGGUGAAAUGCGUAGAUAUCUGGAGGAACACCGGUGGCGAAGGCGGCAUCCUGGACCGAUAUUGACGCUGAGGAGCGAAAGCUAGGGGAGCAAACGGG
rnacentral:rRNA from 1 species